rnacentral:rRNA from 1 species
UAAUACAUGCAAGUCGAGCGAAGUUUUUCUGGUGCUUGCACUAGAAAAACUUAGCGGCGAACGGGUGAGUAACACGUAAAGAACCUGCCUCAUAGACUGGGACAACUAUUGGAAACGAUAGCUAAUACCGGAUAACAGCAUUAACUGCAUGGUUGAUGUUUGAAAGUUGGUUUUGCUAACACUAUGAGAUGGCUUUGCGGUGCAUUAGCUAGUUGGUGGGGUAAAGGCCUACCAAGGCGACGAUGCAUAGCCGACCUGAGAGGGUGAUCGGCCACACUGGGACUGAGACACGGCCCAGACUCCUACGGGAGGCAGCAGUAGGGAAUCUUCCGCAAUGGGCGAAAGCCUGACGGAGCAACGCCGCGUGAGUGAAGAAGGAUUUCGGUUCGUAAAGCUCUGUUGUUAGGGAAGAAUGAUUAUGUAGUAACUAUACAYAGUAGAGACGGUACCUAACCAGAAAGCCACGGCUAACUACGUGCCAGCAGCCGCGGUAAUA